UAAGAAAUUAAAACUACUUUUAUAAGUUUGUAGCUUUUACUCAUUUUAAUAACAAAAGAAUAAUAUAUAAAGAAACCUACGAGAGAAAAAAAAUAAAUAAAUAAACAAAAUCAAAAGAAAUAAAAGUAAUGACAAUAAAAUAAAAGUGUGCAUGUUAAAUGGUAGGCAAGGGUGCGCGUCAGUGGUAUCAAGAACUCCUAAGUUAGGGAAGUUAAAAGAUAAAAAGAAAAUAGUAUAAGAAAACAGUAAAAAAAAAAAAAAAAUAAAUAAAUAAAUAAAUAAAUAAAAUAAAAAAGGAAGUCCAGAAUAGAAAAAGGGCCGAAGCCCAAACAUCCAAAUUUCUUAGGGUUUUUUCUCCUUUUCCAAAGAAAAGCCAAAACUGCAUUUACCCCCUUUCAAAUGGUGCGGCACAGGGAAACCAGGGGCACCACCCCAACUCCGGCAAACUCCUCCCGGUCGUCGUCGUCAGGGUUGUCAACAACGUUACCCGCGUCGGGAGCGUCGUCGUUCUUCGCGGCACUCUACUUCUUCGUCGUCUCCCGCGUGCACGGCCCAAUCCCGCCACAAACGUUGCGCCGCAGACAUCGGCAACCGCUUCGACUCCGCCGCCACCGACGCUCAUCCAAGGACGUGGCGUCUGUAGACCGCCGCUCUUCGUUGUCGGUGAUCCUUUCUUUUCUUAUUUUUUGCUCUGAUCGGGGUUCGUGUGCAAGUGAUAUUUUUAUGACCCAAAAAUGCAAAAAAAUGAUGGACGAAUUGAAANGAUACUUUAAUGGUCCGAAGUUGACAAAGAUGAUGAAACCGCUAUGUUUUACUGUUACGUUUUUGGUCUUGCAGGAAAGUGAUUUUUGGGGUUUUUGGUGGCAUCAGUUAGAGUUUGAUGUUAAUGAUGGGGUUCUAUGUAAUUGGUCCUCUGUUUUUUGUUACAGUACUUAGAGUUCUACAUGAUGGAGGGAAAUGGUGGUUUCGUAGUUGCGCAAUAGUUGUGAGAAAGUAUAGGGAAGGCCAAAAACCUAACCUAAGUUGGUGAUGGAUGAAUGGAAAACAAGGAUAGAGUACCAGACCGCGCAACAGACAAAUGGUACUGGACACGAUGAGAUACCUGAAGAAGCUCUUCUUCCUUGUCUUCCUCUUUCUAAAUGUGGCUUUUGUUGCUUUGUGUUGAAUGGUGGUUGAUGGAUGAUCCCGUCGGCAAAGGGAGUCAAAGCUAGUUAGGAAUGUUGUUGAUGUUGAGUGGGAGAAUCAAGUUCUUUUGUGCGCUCUUGAGUUCCCCUACCGUGGUUGCUGUGAUAAGGUGAAUGGCGUUAGUGCUGGAGGUCCUGGUAUCAGGAGCUCUCUCCUCAACUGGUUCGGUAUUAGUGAUGAGUCUUCAAAUUUCAAAAUCCGUUGGCCAGAAACUUGAGGUAAGUGUGGGGAGCAGAGAAAAUUCAGAGCAAGAGGGAGUCCCGUUGUUUUUUCAGUCCUCCGUGAAAAAUAGAUGGUUUCUUUUUUUAAGUUUUUAAUCCCCUUCUAGGGAAGUCAACUUUCUUUUCAUCCCCCUAUUCGAGAGUAUCCACUGAGGAUCCAGAGUCACCUGCCGAUGCCGUCACCUUUGUCAAACGCCAUUCCCCUUUGAUGUAUAGUCGGUCGCCGAAAAACAAAGGGCACAGGAGCUUUUUUCCAAAAAACGAAAAUUUGUUGCGUGUAGAAGUGUUUGCUGUUUGUGUGUUGCAGGAUAGAAGCGUCGUAGGUCAGUUCUUAUUGACUGAGAAUGAAGACCGACUGGUAACGAAAAGAAAGACAAGACUACUAUUCCAAAAGAGGAAAUAAGUUAACUAUACCACUUUUUUUU